CAGCAUUUAUUGUCCAAAUUCCUGUCAGCUCUCUCUAAUCCUCCAGCUAAAAGAGGAUAUUCGGUCUGUUAGUCAUCAGAGACUUUUUUUGUAAAUUUCGUUUCCAAUUUUGGCUGUGUUUUUUUGUUGUUGUCAUGGCGACAGGAUGAGUGGGUUUUUAGGGAGCAUUCUCUGGAAAACAAACCAUUCCCUCUGGUUCAGUAUGGUGGGUUAGUGUGGAAAGGUGGUGUUUUUGAGAUGUACGAACACAGAUGGUGAUGGAUACGAACAGGCUGAUGAAGGCUGUGCAUGUUUGCUCUUGGAAAUCAUCUGUUCCUGAACAUCAUCAUUGCUUGACACAAGAUUCGUCCAACCAUUCCAGUAAUGCAUUGGAAUGCCUUGAGGUUGGAUCCCAGUGGAUUCCGCAACUCAAUCAAGGUUUCACCAAAGUUUCACCAAAUGACUCAUGCUUGGAAUGGAUAUGCAGAAGGAAAAACUGGAAGAUGGCCCCUGAAGCCCCUGGCAGCCCGACAUUGGCAUCAUCUCCGUAACUGGCAACUAUAUUGUCCACAGUAGCAGCUGUGACUCACCUCGGGGACGAAGCGCUGGUCUCACUGCACAUGGUCAUGUAAGACCAAAUUAAAACCAAUGCCAAAUACAGUAACUGAGACACAGAGGACACACUAGAGGACAUUGACUGUCCUUCAGGGUGCAAGUUUUAAUUUUCACAUAAGUAUGCAGAUGCUGUUAUUAGCUUUUUAUGUGCAUGAUAAUACUGAAUGACUUAAAGUCGCCAUGAUAUCAAAAUGUACAAUUCUUAUUUUUAUAUGUAAUAUUAUAGUGUUUAUAAUAGAUGAUUUAUCUGUGCGCUUCAUUCUUUUUUUAAAAAUUCAUGUGUCCUCAUAAUCUUUAAUCAAAUACAUAAACCUUCCCUCCCCCCUCAAAAUGACUUCUCUUCUAUUUCUGUCAUGUGCUAUGGCGUGAGAAUUAGAUGGUAUUGAGGAUUAGAUCAUUUAAUUUAAUUGAGAAUUUGACAAUUUAGGCAUUUUAUAUGGACACCCAACAAUAAAAUCAAUAUCAUUUGAAUCUGAAAUUAAGAGUUGCAUGAAUUGAAAAAAUCUUAUUUUGUGGUUAAAAUCUUUCUUCACCAUUCACGCUUCUAUCAGGCAGCUUUGAACAAUGCUUUGUCUGUCUUUAAAUCAGGGUUUUGUGUAGUGUGGAGAUAAUUUUGGGAUGCUGCUUCUUUUAAAUCAAAACCUGCUGUCAAAAGCAAUUCAUAAACUAUUGCCAUUCCCUUCCAAAAUAUCCAAGGUUUGCCUAUCGCUGGCAGGGAAAGCCAAAGUCUCUCCACCUUUCUCAAACAUGGAAUCUAUUAAGUUGCAGCAAGCGUUUUCUGGCUGUCUGAAGGAUAAUGCAUAUUAAAAGCAGACAUAGAGAUUCUACUUUUGUGUGCUGUUGGAAAUAAUGGAAGAAUAAGGGUCUCAUUGCACUUUUAUUUUUCAGAAAAAUAUUUUAUUUAUAAAUGUUUUAUUCCUUGGUGUACAGCUUCCUUCACGUGUAGAUUUAAAGGUAAAGUGAAUAAUCUUUUGGCACUAAAGGAGCAAAGUAUAAAAUUGUAUUACUAUUUCCAAACAGGUUUCCCAAACUAAGGAGGAUUUUAAAUUGACAUAUUAGUCAACAGUGUAAUAUAUGUCAGAUAAUUUAUUUUGUUAUAUUUAUAUUAAUGAUUGAAUUAGUUAUUUUCAACAUUUAUGAUAUUUUGAUUAAAUAUCUUUUCAUAAGCAACCUUUAUAUUGCUGUGCUUUAUAUGGCAUGGUAAACUGGGUUAAGAGAAACAGAAAAAGAUACAAGUCACCUUUAAGCCAUUUUUUGAGGUAUAAACUGAUCAUACUGGCAGCAACUGGAUCUAAUUCAAUUCGCCCUCUCAUACCUAGAAUAUCAAAAUCAACUGCGGGCAGCAGUUCCUUUUCCUAUUGCCCUAUAGUGCCCAAACUCUGGAAUAACCUACCUAACAUUGUUUGGGAGGCAGACACACUCUUUCAGUUUAAAUCUAGAUUAAAGACCCAUCUCUUUAACCUGGCUUACACAUAACACACUAACACAUUUCUAAUACUCAAACCCGUUAAAGGAUUUUUAAGCUGCAUUAAUUAGGUCAACCAGAACCGGGAAAACUUCCGAUAACACCCAAUGUACUUGCUACAUUGUUAGAAGAAUGGCAUCUACGCUAAUAUUAGUCUGUUUCUUUCUUAUUCUGAGGUCACCAUAGCCACCAGAUCCAGUCUGUAUCCAGAUCAGAUGGUCACUGUAGUCACCCGGAUCCAUUACGUAUCCAGCCCAGAUGGUGGAUCAGCACCUAGAAAGGACCUCUACAGCCCUGAAUGUCAGUGGAGACCAGGACAACUAGAUGAGCCUCAGAUCCCCUGUAAAGACCUUGUCUCAGACGGCCACCGGGACAAGACCACAGGAACCAGUUGAGUCCUCGGCACAAUGUGACUUUGCUGCAGCCUGGAAUUGAACUGCUGUUUUCGUCUGGCCAGAGGAGAACUCCCAACUGAUCCUGGUUUCUCCCAAGGUUUUUUCUCCAUUCUGUCACCGAUGGAGUUUUGGUUCCUUGCUGCUGUCGCCUCUGGCUUGCUUAGUUGGGGACACUUCAUUUCCAGCGAUAUUGUUGACUUGAUUGCACAGAUAUUUAAACUGAACUGAACUUGACUCUAUGUAGAAACUAUGCUCCCUAAUUUAAAAGGAAAUGUGAAGGCUAAAAUAAGCUUAUGGUGCUGGUAGUCAGUGACAUUUGUUAUGUGCUCACAGCUAAGGUUCUUGAAAUAUGUGUCUUGGAAAGAGUCUGGACUCCAUCCAAGUAUGAGAGGGAAUUUGGCUCAGUGAUCCACACUGUACACUGCUCCAUCCAGGGAACCAUAACAAUUCCUCUGCUCUGUUUUCCUCCUCUCCAGCUAAAAACUGUUUCUCUUAGAGACCAUACAAUCUAGAGGCCUGUUGUUGCUGCUCAGUUAAAUAUCAUACCUAGCAUUUCUGUUUCCUGACCGAGGUAAGCCUGUUUUUAUUAUUCAGUCAUUGAAUAAAAAUGCAUGUUAUACACAGUUAUAUAAUACUAUAGUUCCAAAAAAUUUUUGGGUAUUUAAGCCAGUAAAAUGUUAAAUCUAGUUGCAUUAGAUAACAAUACACUACUGUUUAAAAGGUUUAAUCAAUUGAGCAAUUAAUUUACCAACCAUAACUUUUGAAUGUUAGCAUAUUUCAAACAGAAAUGUAUCCCCAAACAAUUAAUGCUAGAUUUUUCACAACCCCUUUUAAAUUUAAAGUAAUUUCAAGGUUUUUUAAUGUGAUUUUACUUUUACAAAAUGUAUAAUGUUUAAAAAUAUAUUUUAAAAAAAUAAUUGUCUUUACAUAAUAUGGAAGUAUGUAAAUCACCAUUAAAAAUGUUGUAGUCCAGGAUUCAGGAUCCAGGCUUAAUCUCACUUUGUCCAGUUGAAAACAAUGUGUUACCAAUCAUGAUGUGUACAAGUCACCCCUUUGCUCUGCUGUGGUUACUGCCCAAAAGAGAGGAAUCACUGGAUCGCUCUCGUCUGUUCAGUCCCAUUGUUUGAGCCAAUAACAGCACACUGUGCAAAUCUCAUCAGCCUGUUUCCUGCUUCUGGCUCAGAGCUCCUGUUUGUUUUGACAGAGACACAAUACAUCAGAGAGGAUGGAGAAAUAUUUAUCAUCCUACUUUGUUUCAUUGUGCCGCAUUGUGUUCUGUUCAGUCACAUUGUGUUUGACAUCGCUUUUUCAUUUUGUAAUCCUUGACACAUGAAUACAGCCAUUUAGUUAAAAGGCUGAUUAACUGUGAUGGUGAUAAAAUGGCAUAUACAAUACAAUCUGUCAUGUUGUUAUAGGAUUUCACCUGUGAUUUAAUAAUCAGCUGAAGGAAUCCCUCACCUAAAAAAAUGAAAAUGGUCAUUUACUCACUCACUGUCAUUUACUGACAUUCACUGUUGUGUAAAUCACAGCAGAUGUUUAGCAGAGUGUUCAUGCUGCUCUUAGUAAUAGAUGAAUGAACAUGAAUGAGACCUUGGGCAAAUGGAGCUCCAAAAAAGCACAAUAAAAGCAUGAAGAAGCGCAUAUGGCUUGUGCACUAUAUUCCAAGUCUUCUGAAGACGUACGAUAGCUUUGUGUGAGGGAAAAUGUCAAAAUGUAAAGCCUUUCCUCUAACUGGUGCUAGUAACAAAAGAUUAAAUCAUCCUUUGAGAAGAUUCUUAUUGAUUCCGUGUGAGAAGACACUGAAGAUUUUUUCUCUGUCCCCUACGGCUCCUUAUGUGAUGAAUAUGUUCUUUCUGUGAGCGUGUUUGUUUGUUUGU
ensembl:lncRNA